rnacentral:lncRNA from 1 species
CCGUUGCUGAGUUGGUGGUUCUCUAACUUUGCCAGGUGCAGUUCUCAGUGGUGGCAGGGGGCUGGUGGGAAGGGAGGGGGAGGGGAUUGUGAAGGGUCGGGCUGUGACCCCCUCGACCAGAGCUGGGCAGUGGGUUGGGUUCUGGGCUGCCCCCAGACACCAGGCUGGUUCACCAGGAAGGGAUCACUUUUCUUCCCGGGAUAAGGACCAACGGCUGUCCCGGGGGGGCUGUCCCCAGGGCGAGUGGAAGGCAGGUGGGACCACCCAGCGCAGGUACAGGAAGGAAGCGGUGGGAGGCCCGGCUCUGUGGCCAGGCGGCUACUUCUGCAGCCUGCUCUCUGGGGCGCAGAGGCGGUCUGGAACACGGAGACGAGCUUCAAACGCAACCGUCCUCUCUUACACUCUCCGAGGGAAGCUCGGCUCGGGGCUUGCCAGGGCUGGGGCCAGACCGGAAAUGGGAUCGGUGACCGAGGGCCCUGGGCUCCUGGUGUUCCUGCCGCCUCGGCCAGCUCCUCUGCCCGCCGCCAGCCCUCCCUCCUCCCCUGCGGAUGUUCUCAGGCUUCCCGCCACUAGCGCGCUGCCUCCCCAGCCCUGCGCGCUUCUCCAUCUGACGUCCUCCUCCAGGAAGCCUGCCCAACCGCCCUCCUGCCUGCACACCAUUGCUCCUCUAGGUGUGCUGGGCCAUUGCUGUGUUUGCUUCCAGGUUGUUUGGAAGUUACUUAUCCGUUUCUCGUUUUCUAUCCCCAGGUGCUGUCGGGGAGCUGCGAUGCUGUCUCCAGCUUCCUCUGAACCAAGAG